rnacentral:rRNA from 1 species
UACGGAGGGGGCUAGCGUUGUUCGGAAUUACUGGGCGUAAAGCGCACGUAGGCGGCUUUGUAAGUUAGAGGUGAAAGCCCGGAGCUCAACUCCGGAACUGCCUUUUAGACUGCAUCGCUUGAAUCCAGGAGAGGUGAGUGGAAUUCCGAGUGUAGAGGUGAAAUUCGUAGAUAUUCGGAAGAACACCCGUGGCUAAGGCGGCUCUCUAGUACGGUACUGACGCUGAGACGCGAAAGCGUGGGGAGCGAACAGG